UCCACAACAUGCUUGAAUGGACC
rnacentral:siRNA from 1 species